UAUGUGUGUUUGUGAUAUGUCUAUAAUUUGCAUGAUUUAGGCAUUCAUUCUUCACCACUUUGUCAUUGUUUCAUCCAU
rnacentral:sRNA from 1 species